UCAGCUUUCACUGAAUAUUUUUGCCGGAGGGUCGGAUUUGGCCGCUGCUGUGCAUGAUGAUACUGGAGGGUAAAAUGAUGCAGCAUAUACUGUGCCACCACCACUUGUCCUGAAUUAACUUACUGUAUACAAGUGCUACUCAUUCUGAGGUAGUGUGACCCGAGGAUUCGCUGGUGGAAAGGGGACCAGAUUAUCUUUCACCAGCAAUACUGUUAAGUCACUUAUGCAGAAGUCAUGUUUAUGUCACAUAUACUUGUUGAACAGCUCACUGUAAACAGGCAUGCUCACUGUACAACUGAGUGAUGCCCUUCAAAGUGUUGAUCUUUUCUUCAGGGAAGUUUAUGAGGUCUUUUCUUUCAGUAAUGUCUUUACAAGUGAAUUCCUUACAGCUCUAAUCACAAUUUAACAUGGAAUUUCCUGCUAGCUGUGUCAUACUCUGCAUUUUGUUCACCAAAUAGAUCAAAAAUCUACUCAGUGAAUUACAGAUUUUACAAUAUUCCCAUAAAAGUGCUUGUAUAAUGUUUCAGUUACAGCUCCUGUAGUAGUUGUAAUCAGUUACUCUCCACCUCUGCCAGAAUUUGUUUUCAUAAAAGUAGCUUUGGUCACUUAAAUGAUGUGUACACUGAAUUUCUGUGGGUUUUAACUCCACCACCACAUCCUUGACUAUUAUUAGCUAACUUCCAUGCACAUAUUCAGAGGGUGAAAAUAGAAAUAGUCUCAUUCAUUCGUCAUACUUCUGUGGUUUAACAACUGGCAGCUGCUGGCGUGGCUUGAGAGGCUCCUGGUGAUGCCAUGUCAGGAUGCAGCGGUGGUAUUCAGGGCGAGGGUCCAACUUCACAUCGCAAGACAACUGGAGGAAAACCACAGAAAGCACAUUCUAAUGAAGGUGAGGAUGCCCUGGUUGCCCUGUGGGGCCUACCCUCGCUUUGAUGAUGGUGGGCCUAGGGUCCAAAAUGCCCUGCAUCUUCCUC